GGGAAUGCUGCCAGUCUUUGCUAACAAUCAACAUGGUCCGCAGCCCUGCAUGGAGACUCAAUACCCCACUUCAGACUGCAUCAUGAGGUAUCAGAAUGGAAAUACAAGGCAUGGGGAAUAUGGCAGAUUAAUAAUGGUACUUAAACAUCUGUAGUUUGAAUCAACUGACAUACAGAAAGCAACUUUGGGCAAUGCACAGACAAAAUUACUGCUUCAGGGUCUUCAGAUAAGGCGAUCCUGAGAAUGAUCACUUGGAGAAUUCAUUCCUAUUGAUAAUUCCUAUGGGCCUACUCCGACUGCUCCAAAAUAAACUGUUAAAGCCUGUGACAUACAGUUUGGAACCCAAUCACAGAAUCCAGCGUCACGCUGUGUCCGGGGAGCUGCCUCGUGAAGAUCAGAGACGGGGGGGAGGUGGGGGUGGCCCUAAAAGAUCCAAGAACACAGCUGACUCGUGGAAAAGACCAUAGCUGAGAUGCGGGGCGAUGGAUGACUCUGUCUGGAAGUGGCAAGGGAGAUUGAAACAUUGAGGCGAAUGUGGAGGGAGUCAGCGAUGGCUCCUGACAGAGACGGGCAGCAGCUUUUGGUCCUGGAUCGGCGGAUUUUACACCCGGAUCAGCAGUCACUCUUUACAGAAGGAAUGAGUCCUUAUAUGCAGACAAAAAGACUCCCAUAUUCUGAGACUUAUGUGAUUAUUGGACUGCACUUCAUAUUGGUUUCCAGUUUUUCAGUGCUUUCUUUCCUGUGGAUGAUUGGUGGGUGGGUGAUCUGUUAAUUUUUUGUAUGUAAGAUGUAGAGGUUGGUGCUACUGUCACUACUUUUCAGUGAGUGAGGGGGUCAGGGAUUGUUACAUGCAGGGGGAUCCUGAUUGUAUUGUGGCUAUUUUUUUUCUGCGGGGAGGGAAUUGUAGGACCUGCAAGUUCUGGUUCUUUUCUUUUUCAUGCUGGUUGGGGGGUGCAGAGUUGAUGUCUUUUCUUUCACCAAUACCCAUGAUCUUUCUGUGUUCAGUGGCUACCUGGAGAAGACAAAUAUCAGAGCUGUAUUGUGCAUGCAUAA